UACGUAGGGUGCAAGCGUUGUCCGGAAUUAUUGGGCGUAAAGAGCUUGUAGGCGGUUUGUCGCGUCUGCUGUGAAAUUUCGGGGCUCAACCCCGAACUUGCGGUGGGUACGGGCAGACUAGAGUGUGGUAGGGGAGACUGGAAUUCCUGGUGUAGCGGUGAAAUGCGCAGAUAUCAGGAGGAACACCGAUGGCGAAGGCAGGUCUCUGAGCCACUACUGACGCUGAGAAGCGAAAGCAUGGGGAGCGAACAGG
rnacentral:rRNA from 1 species